rnacentral:rRNA from 1 species
GGGACACGUGGUAUCCUGUCUGAAUAUGGGGGGACCAUCCUCCAAGGCUAAAUACUCCUGACUGACCGAUAGUGAACCAGUACCGUGAGGGAAAGGCGAAAAGAACCCCGGCGAGGGGAGUGAAAAAGAACCUGAAACCGUGUACGUACAAGCAGUGGGAGCACGCUUAGGCGUGUGACUGCGUACCUUUUGUAUAAUGGGUCAGCGACUUAUAUUCUGUAGCAAGGUUAACCGAAUAGGGGAGCCGAAGGGAAACCGAGUCU